AGAGUUUGAUCCUGGCUCAGGAUGAACGCUAGCGGCAGGCCUAACACAUGCAAGUCGAGGGGCAGCACGGUGUAGCAAUACACUGGUGGCGACCGGCGCACGGGUGCGUAACGCGUAUGCAACCUACCCAUAACAGGGGGAUAACACUGAGAAAUUGGUACUAAUACCCCAUAACAUCAGGACCGGCAUCGGUUCUGGUUGAAAACUCCGGUGGUUAUGGAUGGGCAUGCGUUGUAUUAGCUGGUUGGUGAGGUAACGGCUCACCAAGGCAACGAUACAUAGGGGGACUGAGAGGUUAACCCCCCACAUUGGUACUGAGACACGGACCAAACUCCUACGGGAGGCAGCAGUGAGGAAUAUUGGUCAAUGGACGCAAGUCUGAACCAGCCAUGCCGCGUGCAGGAUGACGGCUCUAUGAGUUGUAAACUGCUUUUGUACGAGGGUAAACGCAGAUACGUGUAUCUGUCUGAAAGUAUCGUACGAAUAAGGAUCGGCUAACUCCGUGCCAGCAGCCGCGGUAAUACGGAGGAUCCAAGCGUUAUCCGGAUUUAUUGGGUUUAAAGGGUGCGUAGGCGGUUUGAUAAGUUAGAGGUGAAAUUUCGGGGCUCAACCCUGAACGUGCCUCUAAUACUGUUGAGCUAGAGAGUAGUUGCGGUAGGCGGAAUGUAUGGUGUAGCGGUGAAAUGCUUAGAGAUCAUACAGAACACCGAUUGCGAAGGCAGCUUACCAAACUAUAUCUGACGUUGAGGCACGAAAGCGUGGGGAGCAAACAGGAUUAGAUACCCUGGUAGUCCACGCAGUAAACGAUGAUAACUCGUUGUCGGCGAUACACAGUCGGUGACUAAGCGAAAGCGAUAAGUUAUCCACCUGGGGAGUACGUUCGCAAGAAUGAAACUCAAAGGAAUUGACGGGGGCCCGCACAAGCGGAGGAACAUGUG
rnacentral:rRNA from 3 species